rnacentral:rRNA from 1 species
UACGGAGGGUGCAAGCGUUUAUCCGGAUUCACUGGGUUUAAAGGGUGCGUAGGUGGGUUGGUAAGUCAGUGGUGAAAUCCCCGAGCUUAACUUGGGAACUGCCAUUGAUACUAUCAGUCUUGAAUACCGUGGAGGUCGGCGGAAUAUGUCAUGUAGCGGUGAAAUGCUUAGAUAUGACAUAGAACACCAAUUGCGAAGGCAGCUGGCUACGCGAGUAUUGACACUGAGGCACGAAAGCGUGGGGAUCAAACAAG